AAGUGGGGAGUGAGACCGAAGGAACACCAGAACCAAGCUGACCCCAAAGAAAGCAGAGAGCUCUUCCUCAGGUUGUCGGUUUGACUCCCAGAGCAGCAGGAAGGACGGCACGCUGCAGAAGAUCAGAGACUUCCUGCAGAGCUCCCCGACUCUGCUGGGCUCCAAAGCCAAGAAGAUGAUGAGCCUGGUCAGCGGCCGUCUGGACCCAGACUCAGCACCCGCCUCUUCCUCCCUCAGCCUGAGGGCCAAGAGGGGCAGAAAGAAACUCUACAGACCUGAAAUCUCCUGCCCCAUGGACAUGCCCCCCCACCCGAUGAUCAACCAGGAGACGGACGGCAAGGGCCAGAGCCACCAUGACAUCAUCAAACGGCGCCUGCGCAGCAGAG